rnacentral:rRNA from 1 species
UACGUAGGGGGCAAGCGUUGUCCGGAAUCAUUGGGCGUAAAGAGCGUGUAGGCGGUCCGGUAAGUCGGCUGUGAAAGUCCAGGGCUCAACCCUGGGAUGCCGGUCGAUACUGCCGGACUAGAGUUCGGAAGAGGCGAGUGGAAUUCCCGGUGUAGCGGUGAAAGUGCGCAGAUAUCGGGAAGGAACACCUAUGGGCGAAGGCAGCUCGCUGGGACGUUACUGACGCUGA